CCUACGGGAGGCUGCAGUGAGGAAUAUUGGUCAAUGGCCGGAAGGCUGAACCAGCCAAGCCGCGUGAAGGACGAAGGUGCCAAGCAUUGUAAACUUCUUGUGUCAAGGGACAAAAUCAGGCUCGAGAGCCUGACCGAGGGUACUUGUAGAAAAAGCAUGGGCAAACUCCGUGCCAGCAGCCGCGGUAAUACGGAGGAUGCGAGCGUUAUCCGGAUUUAUUGGGUUUAACGGGUGCGUAAGGGGACGUGUACGUCGGCGGUAAAAGCCCGGGGCUAAACCCCGGCGAGCCGUUGAAACUGGCUGUCUUGAGAUGUCGAGAGGUAUGCGGAAUGCGCAGUGUAGCGGUGAAAUGCUUAGAUAUUGCGCAGAACUCCGAUUGCGAAGGCAGCAUACCGGCGGCGAUCUGACGCUGAGGCACGAAAGCGUGGGUAUCGAACAGGAUUAGAUACCCGAGUAGUC
rnacentral:rRNA from 1 species